rnacentral:rRNA from 1 species
GUGGGGAAUCUUGCGCAAUGGGCGAAAGCCUGACGCAGCCAUGCCGCGUGAGUGAAGAAGGUCUUAGGAUUGUAAAGCUCUUUCGCUCGUGACGAUGAUGACGGUAACGAGAGAAGAAGCCCCGGCUAACUUCGUGCCAGCAGCCGCGGUAAUACGAAGGGGGCUAGCGUUGUUCGGAAUUACUGGGCGUAAAGCGCGCGUAGGCGGUUUUGCAAGCCAGAGGUGAAAUGCCUGAGCUCAACUCAGGAAUGGCCUUUGGGACUGCGAGGCUUUGAGGACUGGAGAGGUGAGUGGAAUUCCCAGUGUAGAGGUGAAAUUCGUAGAUAUUGGGAAGAACACCGGUGGCGAAGGCGGCUCACUGGCCAGUUUCUGACGCUGUAGCGCGAAAGCGUGGGGAUCAAACAGGAUUAGAUACCCCGGUAGUCC